GGAGGCCACUGCUAUUGGGAUCCGACUAAGCCAUGCGAGUCGAGAGGGUUCGGCCCUCGGCAGACUGCUCAGUAACACGUGGAUAAUCUACCCUUAGGUGGAGGAUACUCUCGGGAAACUGAGAAUAAUACUCCAUAGGUCUAGGAUGCUGGAAUGCACCUAGGUUGAAAGUUCCGGCGCCUAAGGACGAGUCUGCGGACUAUCAGGUAGUAGUCAGGGUAAAGACCUGACUAGCCUACGACGGAUACGGGUUGUGAGAGCAAUAGCCCGGAGACGAUAUCUGAGACACGAUAUCGGGCCCUACGGGGCGCAGCAGGCGCGAAAUCUUCACAAUGUGCGAAAGCACGAUGAGGGGAUCCCAAGUGUUGGUUCGUAAGAGCCAUCUGUUUCUUUGUCUAAAAAACAGAGAGAGUAAGAGCUGGGUAAGACGGGUGCCAGCCGCCGCGGUAAUACCUGCAGCUCAAGUGGUGGCCGCUAUUAUUGGGCCUAAAACGUCCGUAGCCGGUUUAGUAAAUGCCUGGGUAAAUUGUGUAGCUCAACUAUACGAAUACCGGGUAGACUGCUAAACUUGGAACCGGGAGAGGCUAGAGGUACUCCUAGGGUAGAGGUGAAAUUCUGUAAUCCUGGGGGGACCACCAGUGGCGAAGGCGUCUAGCUAGAACGGGUUUGACGGUGAGGGACGAAGCCCUGGGGCGCAAACCGGAUUAGAUACCCGGGUAGUCCANGGUGUAAACGCUGCUCGCUUGAUGUUAGUCGGGCUCCGAGCCNAAC
rnacentral:rRNA from 1 species